GUCUAUGACCAUGCUACCCUGAACGAGCCCGAUCCUGUCUGAUCUCGGAACCUGAGCAGGAUUGGGCCUGGUUAGUACUUGGAUGGGAGACCACCUAGGAAGACAAGUGCUGUAGGUG
rnacentral:rRNA from 1 species